UACGUAGGGGGCUAGCGUUGUCCGGAAUCAUUGGGCGUAAAGAGCGUGUAGGCGGUCCGGUAAGUCCGCUGUGAAAGUCGGGGGCUCAACCCUCGAAUGCCGGUGGAUACUGUCGGGCUAGAGUGCGGAAGAGGCGAGUGGAAUUCCUGGUGUAGCGGUGAAAUGCGCAGAUAUCAGGAGGAACACCUAUUGCGAAGGCAGGUCGCUGGGACGUAACUGACGCUGAGACACGAAAGCGUGGGGAGCAAACAGG
rnacentral:rRNA from 1 species